AACGAACGCUGGCGGCAGGCCUAACACAUGCAAGUCGAACGCUCUAGCAAUAGAGAGUGGCAGACGGGUGAGUAACGCGUGGGAACCUUCCCAGUGGUGCGGAAUAGCUCAGGGAAACUUGGGGUAAUACCGCAUGAGCCCGAAAGGGGAAAGAUUUAUCGCCAUUGGAUGGGCCCGCGUAGGAUUAGCUAGUUGGUGAGGUAAUGGCUCACCAAGGCAACGAUCCUUAGCUGGUUUGAGAGAAUGACCAGCCACACUGGGACUGAGACACGGCCCAGACUCCUACGGGAGGCAGCAGUGGGGAAUAUUGGACAAUGGGCGCAAGCCUGAUCCAGCCAUGCCGCGUGAGUGACGAAGGCCUUAGGGUUGUAAAGCUCUUUUGGCGGGGACGAUAAUGACGGUACCGCAGAAUAAGCCCCGGCUAACUUCGUGCCAGCAGCCGCGGUAAGAGUCACGUCG
rnacentral:rRNA from 1 species